GGCUCUUUGAAAUAAAUAUAUAAAGAGUCGAGCCUGCCCAGUGAUUAUUUUAAACGGCCGCGGUACUCUGACCGUGCAAAGGUAGCAUAAUCAUUUGCCCUAUAAUUGAGGGCUUGUAUGAAUGGUUUGACAAAAGCAUAACUGUCUCCUUAAAAUUUUAUAGAAUUUGGUUUUUAGGUGAAGAAACCUAAAUAUAAUUGAAAGACAAGAAGACCCUAUCGAGCUUUAGAGUAAUUGAUUAAAAAAUAUAAUUAAAAUAAUUAAUUUUAAUUAAAGACUUUGGUUGGGGCGACUGAGGAACACACAAAGCUUCCUUAACUAAAAAUAUGCUUAUUAGCAAUGAUCCAAAAAUUUUGAUUAAAAAAUUUAGUUACCGUAGGGAUAACAGCAUAAUCUUUUUUGAGAGUUCUUAUCGAAAAAAAGGUUUGUGACCUCGAUGUGGACUAGGAUAUCCCUAAAGAGCAGAAUUCUUUAAAGGUUAGUCUGUUCGACUAAUAAAAUCCU
rnacentral:rRNA from 1 species